rnacentral:rRNA from 1 species
AAUAUUGCACAAUGGAGGGAACUCUGAUGCAGCGACGCCGCGUGAGUGAAGAAGGUCUUCGGAUCGUAAAACUCUGUCCUUGGUGAAGAUAAUGACGGUAACCAAGGAGGAAGCCCCGGCUAACUACGUGCCAGAAGCCGCGGUAAUACGUAGGGGGCGAGCGUUGUCCGGAAUUACUGGGCGUAAAGGGUACGUAGGCGGCUAUAUAAGUCAGGUGUGAAAUACCAGUGCUUAACACUGGAAUUGCAUUUGAAACUGUGUAGCUUGAGUGCAGGAGAGGAAAAUGGAAUUCCUAGUGUAGCGGUGGAAUGCGUAGAUAUUAGGAGGAACACCAGAGGCGAAGGCGAUUUUCUGGACAACAACUGACGCUGAGGCACGAAAGCGUGGGGAGCAAACA